AGUGAACGCUGGCGGUAGGCCUAACACAUGCAAGUCGAACGGCAGCACAGUAAGAUCUUGCUCUUACGGGUGGCGAGUGGCGGACGGGUGAGGAAUACAUCGGAAUCUACUUUUUCGUGGGGGAUAACGUAGGGAAACUUACGCUAAUACCGCAUACUACCUACGGCUGGGAUCAGGGGAUCUUCGGACCUUGCGCGACUGAAUGAGCCGAUGUCGGAUUAGCUAGUUGGCUGGGUAAGGGCCCACCAAGGCGACGAUCCGUAGCUGGUCUGAGAGGAUGAUCAGCCACACUGGAACUGAGACACGGUCCAGACUCCUACGGGAGGCAGCAGUGGGGAAUAUUGGACAAUGGGCGCAAGCCUGAUCCAGCCAUACCGCGUGGGUGAAGAAGGCCUUCGGGUCGUAAAGCCCUUUUGUUGGGAAAGAACAGCAGCAGGUUAAUACGCCGCUGUUCUGACGGUACCCAAAGAAUAAGCAACGGCUAACUUCGUG
rnacentral:rRNA from 1 species